UACGGAGGGGGCUAGCGUUGUUCGGAAUUACUGGGCGUAAAGCGCACGUAGGCGGCUUUGUAAGUUAGAGGUGAAAGCCCGGGGCUCAACUCCGGAAUUGCCUUUAAGACUGCAUCGCUAGAGUUGUGGAGAGGUAAGUGGAAUUCCGAGUGUAGAGGUGAAAUUCGUAGAUAUUCGGAAGAACACCAGUGGCGAAGGCGACUUACUGGACACAUACUGACGCUGAGGUGCGAAAGCGUGGGGAGCAAACAGG
rnacentral:rRNA from 1 species